AAUAAAAUGGCUGAGUUUAGGUGUUAAACUGUAAAUUUAAUUACGAGUGGUGUACUCUUUUAUUA
rnacentral:tRNA from 1 species